AGUGUGAUCCUGGCUCAGGAUGAACGCUGGCGGCGUGCCUAAUACAUGCAAGUCGAACGCACAGCGAAAGGUGCUUGCACCUUUCAAGUGAGUGGCGAACGGGUGAGUAACACGUGGACAACCUGCCUCAAGGCUGGGGAUAACAUUUGGAAACAGAUGCUAAUACCGAAUAAAACUCAGUGUCGCAUGACACAAAGUUAAAAGGCGCUUUGGCGUCACCUAGAGAUGGAUCCGCGGUGCAUUAGUUAGUUGGUGGGGUAAAGGCCUACCAAGACAAUGAUGCAUAGCCGAGUUGAGAGACUGAUCGGCCACAUUGGGACUGAGACACGGCCCAAACUCCUACGGGAGGCUGCAGUAGGGAAUCUUCCACAAUGGGCGAAAGCCUGAUGGAGCAACGCCGCGUGUGUGAUGAAGGCUUUCGGGUCGUAAAGCACUGUUGUAUGGGAAGAACAGCUAGAAUAGGGAAUGAUUUUAGUUUGACGGUACCAUACCAGAAAGGGACGGCUAAAUACGUGCCAGCAGCCGCGGUAAUACGUAUGUCCCGAGCGUUAUCCGGAUUUAUUGGGCGUAAAGCGAGCGCAGACGGUUGAUUAAGUCUGAUGUGAAAGCCCGGAG
rnacentral:rRNA from 1 species